rnacentral:rRNA from 1 species
UAGGGAAUCUUCCACAAUGGACGCAAGUCUGAUGGAGCAACGGCCGCGUGAGUGAAGAAGGUUUUCGGACCGUAAAGCUCUGUUGUUGGUGAAGAAGGAUAGAGGUAGUAACUGGCCUUUAUUUGACGGUAAUCAACCAGAAAGUCACGGCUAACUACGUGCCAGCAGCCGCGGUAAUACGUAGGUGGCAAGCGUUGUCCGGAUUUAUUGGGCGUAAAGCGAGCGCAGGCGGAAGAAUAAGUCUGAUGUGAAAGCCCUCGGCUUAACCGAGGAAUUGCAUCGGAAACUGUUUUCUUGAGUGCAGAAGAGGAGAGUAGAACUCCAUGUGUAGCGGUGGAAUGCGUAGAUAUAUGGAAGAAUACCAGUGGCGAAGGCGGCUCUCUGGUCUGCAACUGACGCUGAGGCUCGAAAGCAUGGGUAGCGAACAGGAUUAGAUACCCUGGUAGUCCAUGCCGUAAACGAUGAGUGCUAAGUGUUGGGAGGCUUCCGCCUCUCAGUGCUGCAGCUAACGCAUUAAGCACUCCGCCUGGGGG